rnacentral:snoRNA from 1 species
UGGAUCAAGGAUGAGGAUGUGUGACCAACCAAGGAUUAUAAUUAAUCUCAUUUUGUGCACCUGUGGUCCAAU